GCACAGCAGCAAAGCUCACUGGAGUCCACUUCCUGGUCGGGCUUUAUUCACUUAUUGUGCUUCUGUCACCCAGGUGCUUGAAAAAAAAUAUAGAAAUCUUACACAGGUGACUGGUUAAAACAUUUUCCAGGAAGAACUGAGUGAGAAGUUUGACUCAGAAAUCUGUGGAAGGACAAGACUGGACCCAGCCCCCAAACGUGAUGAGGAGAAAGCCACAAGCACCCAGAACCCUCAACCUUUCAAUUCAAGUGGAGUUUGAAUAUGCAGUGUGCCCCCAUGGGCUCAUGUGGUUGAACACAUGGCUGGUAGCGAUGACCUGGAAGGUUGCUGAACAGAAAGGAAGGAGAGACUGGGAAGGAGAAUUUAAUCCUUCUGGGGUCAUCAGUGAUGCACUCGACACUCCUGGCACGUCAACAUCAGACUGUUUGAUCUGCAAACUGUUUAUCUUGCUGCUGCUAGGAUUAUGUUACAGAAUGGGAGUUGCCAGUGUGCUAAACUCAGGAAACAGAUCCACGUCCUGGAAGCUAAAAAAUGGGACAGAAGCAGCGGUUUUGAAACUGAGCACAAGAAAUAUGAGCUUUAUUGAUUUCGGAGACACCUCAGAAGUGUACUUUGGGUUCAGACCUUCUCUUGCUUCCCCAUCCUGAUUUCUGUUCCCUUUCUUUGACUCCCCACUCCUUCUCCCCCUCCCUCCCUCUCUCCUUCCCUUAAAGCGUAUAUUGAUUUCUUUCAAUGUUCUAGCCCUUGGUUCAGAGGAAAUUGCACUGAUAAAAUACUUGACCAAA